ACAGUAAACGCCACUCUGAUUAGCCGAGGCAACAAGCAUUCGGCGCGUACUGCUGAAGCAAGUGGCUGCUCGGCUCUGUUCAGCUUCCAUCAAAUCAAAGUGAUCCAAAAUCAUCGUUUUCUACUCAGUUGAAGGUGGCGUGCGGUGUCUCCUUCAUUUUGGACGUGGCGUGAGGUGUCCUGCCCCUUAGGAGCACCUAAACAAGAUGGCUUUAAGGAUGAGACAGUGGCGAAAACGCCAAAGAGAACUCAAUCAACUUCUAUGUUAUUCUGACAGUGAUGAUGAACAUUGUGGCAUAAAAAAAAAGUGUGACCGUGCGCCUGGGACUCCGAAUAGUUGUAACAGUGACAAUGUGCCUGGAACCCCACAUAGUUUCAUCAGUAACACUGUUCCUGGGACAUCAGAUAGUUUUGACUUUGACACUGAUGUGGACUAUUGGUCUACUGACUCAGAAAAUGAACCAAAUGAUGAAGCUGAGGUGACCAGCAGCUUUGAAGAUGACCUAAGACAGUUGGCCUUAGACCACACAUCGACACACAGAGCGCUUAAUGGAUUAUUGUCCAUAUUAAGAAAGCAAGGGCACCUAUUGCCUGUGGAUUGCCGGACAUUCCUUGCUACACCACAGUGUAACACAA